UUGAACGCUGGCGGCAGGCCUAACACAUGCAAGUCGAGCGGAUGAAGGGUGUGUGCUCCUGGAUUCAGCGGCGGACGUGUUGGUAAUGCCUAGGAUUCUGCCUGGUAGGUGGGUGUAACGCUCGGUAACGGGCGCUAAUACCGCAUACGUCCUGAGUGUGAUAGUGGGGGAUCUUCGGACCUCACGGUGUCUUUGUUUGCUAGGUCGUAUUAGCUAGUUGGUGGGGUAAAGGCUUACCAAGGCGACGAUCCGUAACUGGUCUGAGAGGAUGAUCAGUCACACUGGAACUGAGACACGGUCCAGACUCCUACGGGAGGACGCAGUGGGCACACUUGGACAAUGGGCGAAAGCCUGAUCCAGCCAUGCCGCGUGUGAGAAGAAGGAAUUCGGAUUGUAAAGCACUUUAAGUUGGGAGGAAAAAAAAUAAGUUAAUACCUUGCUGUUUUGACGUUACCAACAGAAUAAGCACCGGCUAACUUCGUG
rnacentral:rRNA from 1 species